rnacentral:rRNA from 1 species
AUUGAACGCUGGCGGCAGGCCUAACACAUGCAAGUCGAGCGGAGCGGCGGAAGGGUGAGUAAUGCCUAGGAAUCUGCCUGGUAGUGGGGGAUAACGUCCGGAAACGGGCGCUAAUACCGCAUACUAUCAGAUGAGCCUAGGUCGGAUUAGAUAGUGUGUGGGGUAAAGGCCUACAAAGGAGAAGAUCCGUAAAUGGUCUGAGAGGCUGAUCAGUCAACCUGGAACGGAGACACGGUUCAGACUCCUCCGUGAGGCAGCAGUGGGGAAUAUUGUACAAUUGUCGAAAGCCUGAUCCAGCCAUGCCGCGUGUGUGAAGAAGGUCUUCGGAUUGUAAAGCACUUUAAGUUGGGAGGCGUUACCAACAGAAUAAGCACCGGCUAACUUCGUGCCAGCCGCCGCGGUAAUAC